rnacentral:rRNA from 1 species
UUCUAAAUAUAAAUUGGUAUAUCCCUACCAGAGUACUAUGAAUCUUUCAUUUAAAACUCAAAGGACUUGGCGGUGCUUUAGACUUCUCAGGGGAACCUGUUUCAUAAUCGACAGUCCACGUAAAACCUUUCCUUCUUUUGCUUUCAGCAUGUAUACCGUCGUCGUCAGGUAACUUUUAAAAAUAUUAGGAGUUAGCAAUAAAGUUAAUUUAAACUUUUACGUCAGAUCAAGGUGCAGCCCAUAAGAGGGUGAGAAUGGGUUACAAUUAAAAAUUAUAAUUACGGAGAGAGAAAUGAAAUUUUUGCCGGAAGGAGGACUUGAAAGUAAGAAAAAUUAUAUAAAUUUUCUGAAUUCAGCUCUGAAGCGUGC